AUAACGNAUGGAAACUUACGCUAAUACCGCAUACGACCUACGGGUGAAAGCAGGGGACCUUCGGGCCUUGCGCGAUUGAAUGAGCCGAUGUCGGAUUAGCUAGUUGGCGGGGUAAAGGCCCACCAAGGCGACGAUCCGUAGCUGGUCUGAGAGGAUGAUCAGCCACACUGGAACUGAGACACGGUCCAGACUCCUACGGGAGGCAGCAGUGGGGAAUAUUGGACAAUGGGCGCAAGCCUGAUCCAGCCAUACCGCGUGGGUGAAGAAGGCCUUCGGGUUGUAAAGCCCUUUUGUUGGGAAAGAAAUCCAGCUGGCUAAUACCCGGUUGGGAUGACGGUACCCAAAGAAUAAGCACCGGCUAACUUCGUGCCAGCAGCCGCGGUAAUACGAAGGGNGCAAGCGUUACUCGGAAUUACUGGGCGUAAAGCGUGCGUAGGNGGNCGUUUANNUCCGUUGUGAAAGCCCUGGGCUCAACCUGGGAACUGCNGUGGAUACUGGGCNANUAGAAUGUGGNANANGGUAGCGNANUNCCUGGUGUANNNNNGAAAUGCGUANNGAUCAGGANGA
rnacentral:rRNA from 1 species